rnacentral:tRNA from 1 species
GCCCCGGUAGCAUAGUAGCUAUUGCGGCUGACUCGUAAUCAGCAGGUCGGGAGUGCAAAUCUCCUCCGGGGCU